CCUACGGGAGGCAGCAGUGGGGAAUAUUGCACAAUGGGCGCAAGCCUGAUGCAGCCAUGCCGCGUGUGUGAAGAAGGCCUUCGGGUUGUAAAGCACUUUCAGCGGGGAGGAAGGCGGUGAGGUUAAUAACCUCAUCGAUUGACGUUACCCGCAGAAGAAGCACCGGCUAACUCCGUGCCAGCAGCCGCGGUAUACGGAGGGUGCAAGCGUUAAUCGGAAUUACUGGGCGUAAAGCGCACGCAGGCGGUCUGUCAAGUCGGAUGUGAAAUCCCCGGGCUCAACCUGGGAACUGCAUUCGAAACUGGCAGGCUAGAGUCUUGUAGAGGGGGGUAGAAUUCCAGGUGUAGCGGUGAAAUGCGUAGAGAUCUGGAGGAAUACCGGUGGCGAAGGCGGCCCCCUGGACAAAGACUGACGCUCAGGUGCGAAAGCGUGGGGAGCAAACAGGAUUAGAUACCCGUGUAGUC
rnacentral:rRNA from 1 species